AAAUCCUCACUUUGCAAAGGAUAAGCCUGAAAAAUUCUCUUGAAUUUGAGCUUGAAUUUCCACUGUUUUGAAAUUCAAUUCUCCAGGAAUCCAUAGCUUCUUAACCAUUCAAUCCUUUUCCUGCAAGCAAGUGGAGUGAGAUCAAGCAUAAGCAAGAUCCAGAUCAAUUGAAUCCAGACCUCCAUUAAAGGUAUUUUCCAGAAAUUUUAAACUCUUCGAUUCUCUCAAAUUCAUUCUCAAUUCUAU
rnacentral:lncRNA from 1 species